GACAGAGGCCUCGAGCGUUAGGCGGAAUCACUGGGCUUAAAGCGUGUGUAGGCGGGCCCGUAAGUACCUUGUGAAAUCCCACGGCUCAACCGUGGAACGGCUGGGUAUACUGCGGGUCUUGGGCCAACUAGGGGCAACCGGAACAAACGGUGGAGCGGUGAAAUGCGUAGAUAUCGUUUGGAACGCCAAUGGUGAAAACAGGUUGCUGGGAGUGCGCUGACGCUGAGACACGAAAGCCAGGGGAGCAAACGGG
rnacentral:rRNA from 1 species